AAAAACUGAGGUGGUAUGAGAUGGACCUGCGUCUGAUUAGCUAGUUGGAGAGGUAACGGCUCACCAAGGCAACGAUCAGUAGCCGACCUGAGAGGGUGACCGGCCACAUUGGGACUGAGACACGGCCCAAACUCCUACGGGAGGCAGCAGUGGGGAAUAUUGCACAAUGGGGGAAACCCUGAUGCAGCAACGCCGCGUGAGUGAAGAAGUAUUUCGGUAUGUAAAGCUCUAUCAGCAGGGAAGAAGAGAGACGGUACCUGACUAAGAAGCCCCGGCUAACUACGUGCCAGCAGCCGCGGUAAUACGUAGGGGGCAAGCGUUAUCCGGAUUUACUGGGUGUAAAGGGAGCGUAGACGGCUUGAUAAGUCUGAAGUGAAAGGCCAAGGCUUAACCAUGGAACUGCUUUGGAAACUAUGAGGCUAGAGUGCUGGAGAGGUAAGCGGAAUUCCUAGUGUAGCGGUGAAAUGCGUAGAUAUUAGGAGGAACACCAGUGGCGAAGGCGGCUUACUGGACAGAAACUGACGUUGAGGCUCGAAAGCGUGGGGAGCAAACAGGAUUAGAUACCCUGGUAGUCCACGCUGUAAACGAUCAAUACUAGGUGUGCGGGGAC
rnacentral:rRNA from 1 species